AUUGAACGCUGGCGGCAGGCUUAACACAUGCAAGUCGAGCGGAGUGAUGGUGCUUGCACUAUCACUUAGCGGCGGACGGGUGAGUAAUGCUUAGGAAUCUGCCUAUUAGUGGGGGACAACAUCUCGAAAGGGAUGCUAAUACCGCAUACGUCCUACGGGAGAAAGCAGGGGAUCACUUGUGACCUUGCGCUAAUAGAUGAGCCUAAGUCGGAUUAGCUAGUUGGUGGGGUAAAGGCCUACCAAGGCGACGAUCUGUAGCGGGUCUGAGAGGAUGAUCCGCCACACUGGGACUGAGACACGGCCCAGACUCCUACGGGGGGCAGCAGUGGGGAAUAUUGGACAAUGGGGGGAACCCUGAUUCAGCCAUGCCGCGUGUGUGAAGAAGGCCUUAUGGUUGUAAAGCACUUUAAGCGAGGAGGAGGCUCUUCUGGUUAAUACCCAGGAUGAGUGGACGUUACUCGCAGAGUAAGCACCGGCUAACUCUGUGCCAGCCGCCGCAGUAAUAC
rnacentral:rRNA from 1 species